AUACGGAGGGUGCAAGCGUUGUUCGGAAUCACUGGGCGUAAAGGACGCGUAGGCGGGUUGUCAAGUCAGAUGUGAAAUCCUACAGCUUAACUGUAGAACUGCAUUUGAAACUGGCAACCUAGAGUAUGGGAGGGGGAGAUGGAAUUAGUGGUGUAGGGGUAAAAUCCGUAGAUAUCACUAGGAAUACCGAAAGCGAAGGCGAUCUCCUGGAACAUAACUGACGCUAAGGCGUGAAAGCGUGGGGAGCAAACGGGAUUAGAAACCCUAGUAGUCC
rnacentral:rRNA from 1 species